CACUGUCAGAGGAUAAUUGCAGCUAAGUUCUAAUGUUUGCUUUGGACAGAGAAAUCUGUGGGCUCCACUUGCUUUUUGGGAUGCAUUCUGGGCUCCUCCCAUCCUCCCAUGAAAUGAGCAUAACUAAACAGUGAGAAACUGCCCCGCUGGGGCUUCUGAUUUGUUUUGCUGUAGUUGGCUACAGUCUUGAAAGCCUUUUUCUAGGGGAGUCAUGAUAUAUUAUAUCAGAUAUUAUCACUGCACUCCAUCUUGUGGAAGAGGCGAUGAUACAGACUUUGAAAUGAUCCUAUAGAGCUGUUUUGAGUAAUUAAACCCAACAAUACUUGGUUCUUACAGCCAAAGCAAGGAACUACAAAGAGCAGUGGAUGCAAAAAGGAUCUAGGAGAAAUGAUUUGCCGUCAACAUGUAAUUAAGUUCCUAGAUAUUCUUAAAACAUCUCUUCAGAGCUGAUUAUUUCUUUGACAUCUUUUUAUAUCUUUAUUGUUCAAGAUGAUACUAUUGCUAGCUGCUGAGGACAUGGACAUUCUCACAGCACUCUGCAUAUUGUAGAAUCAGCUGGCACAUGCACUUUGUGUGCGCUGUUUAAUUAAAAAAAAAGAAGACUAACAACUUUUCAAACCAUGUGGAUAGUGGAAUUUCAUCCCUGACAAAGAACCUAAAUCUUGGGCACUGGGCACUUUAAUCCUCAGUCGACCUAGCUGUACCCAAUGGAUUCGUGUACAUGUCGCUUGGAUUUAGGGAGAGGCUUAGACAACGCAGUGGUCAGUUUGCUGAUUGCCAGUUCACUUUACUGCUCCAAACUUUGCUAACUCUGUACUGGCAGUGAACUCGAAACAUUCUAGAGAAGAGGAAAAGAAGCUUCUUGUUCCCUCAGAUGAAUCUCU
rnacentral:lncRNA from 1 species